GUAACGUAAUCAAAUUACUGUGUGGGUGCUAUAUCUGAUUACGGUGGGAGAGGAGGGGUAAUAAGCUUGUAUAGAUAUUAUUUAGGUAAGGGAUUCGAUUACAGUGUCAAUUGAUUACAAACCACCGCAACCAAACAUAUGUAAUGGGAUUCAUUACCUUCUGUAAUCAGAUUACGUUACAUUUGAGCCAACCAAACACCACCAGUCCGUGUUCGAAACCAAACACCCUGGUAAAGCUAUCCACAAACUGACCAACAGAGGAUGGAGCAUGAAGCACGCCCUCAUUUUCUUUUUAUUUUCCGCUCGUCUCGUUGUCGUCUCCGUUAAAAGAUCACUUCACCUGUGUUCUCCGG
rnacentral:lncRNA from 1 species